rnacentral:rRNA from 1 species
UCGAGAAUUUUUCUCAAUGGGGGAAACCCUGAAGGAGCGACGCCGCGUGGAGGAUGAAGGUCUUCGGAUUGUAAACUCCUGUCAUUAGAGAACAAACUGCAUGGAUUAACUGUCUGUGCAUUGAUAGUAUCUGAAGAGGAAGAGACGGCUAACUCUGUGCCAGCAGCCGCGGUAAUACAGAGGUCUCGAGCGUUGUUCGGAUUCAUUGGGCGUAAAGGGUGCGUAGGUGGCAUCGUAAGUCGGAUGUGAAAUCCCGGGGCUCAACCCUGGAACUGCAUUCGAUACUGCGGCGCUAGAGUACUGGAGAGGAGAUUGGAAUUUACGGUGUAGCAGUGAAAUGCGUAGAUAUCGUAAGGAAGACCAGUGGCGAAGGCGGAUCUCUGGACAGUUACUGACACUGAGGCACGAAGGCCAGGGGAGCAAACG